rnacentral:rRNA from 1 species
AUUUAUGGAGAGUUUGAUCCUGGCUCAGGACGAACGCUGGCGGCGUGCUUAACACAUGCAAGUCGAACGGUGAUGUCAGAGCUUGCUCUGGCGGAUCAGUGGCGAACGGGUGAGUAACACGUGAGUAACCUGCCCCCGACUCUGGGAUAACUGCUAGAAAUGGUAGCUAAUACCGGAUAUGACGAUUGGCCGCAUGGUCUGGUCGUGGAAAGAAUUUCGGUUGGGGAUGGACUCGCGGCCUAUCAGGUUGUUGGUGAGGUAAUGGCUCACCAAGCCUACGACGGGUAGCCGGCCUGAGAGGGUGACCGGCCACACUGGGACUGAGACACGGCCCAGACUCCUACGGGAGGCAGCAGUGGGGAAUAUUGCACAAUGGGCGAAAGCCUGAUGCAGCAACGCCGCGUGAGGGAUGACGGCCUUCGGGUUGUAAACCUCUUUUAGUAGGGAAGAAGCGAAAGUGACGGUACCUGCAGAAAAAGCACCGGCUAACUACGUGCCAGCAGCCGCGGUAAUACGUAGGGUGCAAGCGUUGUCCGGAAUUAUUGGGCGUAAAGAGCUCGUAGGCGGUUUGUCGCGUCUGCUGUGAAAUCCCGAGGCUCAACCUCGGGUCUGCAGUGGGUACGGGCAGACUAGAGUGCGGUAGGGGAGAUUGGAAUUCCUGGUGUAGCGGUGGAAUGCGCAGAUAUCAGGAGGAACACCGAUGGCGAAGGCAGAUCUCUGGGCCGUAACUGACGCUGAGGAGCGAAAGCAUGGGGAGCGAACAGGAUUAGAUACCCUGGUAGUCCAUGCCGUAAACGUUGGGAACUAGAUGUGGGGACCAUUCCACGGUCUCCGUGUCGCAGCUAACGCAUUAAGUUCCCCGCCUGGGGAGUACGGCCGCAAGGCUAAAACUCAAAGGAAUUGACGGGGGCCCGCACAAGCGGCGGAGCAUGCGGAUUAAUUCGAUGCAACGCGAAGAACCUUACCAAGGCUUGACAUAUACCGGAAACGUGCAGAGAUGUGCGCCCCGCAAGGUCGGUAUACAGGUGGUGCAUGGUUGUCGUCAGCUCGUGUCGUGAGAUGUUGGGUUAAGUCCCGCAACGAGCGCAACCCUCGUUCUAUGUUGCCAGCACGUAAUGGUGGGAACUCAUAGGAGACUGCCGGGGCCAACUCGGAGGAAGGUGGGGAUGACGUCAAAUCAUCAUGCCCCUUAUGUCUUGGGCUUCACGCAUGCUACAAUGGCCGGUACAAAGGGCUGCGAUACCGUAAGGUGGAGCGAAUCCCAAAAAGCCGGUCUCAGUUCGGAUUGAGGUCUGCAACUCGACCUCAUGAAGUCGGAGUCGCUAGUAAUCGCAGAUCAGCAACGCUGCGGUGAAUACGUUCCCGGGCCUUGUACACACCGCCCGUCAAGUCAUGAAAGUCGGUAACACCCGAAGCCAGUGGCCUAACCGCAAGGGAGGAGCUGUCGAAGGUGGGAUCGGUGAUUAGGACUAAGUCGUAACAAGGUAGCCGUACCGGAAGGUGUGGCUGGAUCACCUCCUUUCUAAGGA